rnacentral:lncRNA from 13 species
GCAGAAGUGAUGAAAGCCAUUUUGAUUUUAGUGGUGCAUGGUUGAGACUGUGUGGUUCCAUAUGUAUAUUGGGGUCCCUACUAGCAAUGACUCAUUGGGGGGGGGGGGGAUUCUACAGCUUGUGUGUGAGUUGUUCUGUCUUUGAUAGUGUUUUGUUGUGGAUCUCAGUACUGUACUACAAGUGUGCACUUCCGUGUGUGUACGUGUGUAUCAUCUUCCAGGCCUUUGGAGCUGUGUCUGGGUGCGGUGUCAGUUCAGUUGGACAUGGGAAAGUGGGUUAAAUUCCAGGCAUUCUGCUACAUCUGAGACUGCUACAGCGUUUGGGAUUGUCUGUUUCUGUCUGAGGCUUUAUCUUGCCUCUCAUGUGUGAGCCAGUCUCUUGCCAAACCCCACUGGCUAUGGAAAAACAAUUUAACUGGAUUUAAUUUGUUGCCCCACCACCACCACUUCCCUCCCUCUUCCUCUCCCUCUCUUUCUUUUCUUUUGUGCACCUCUGAGACUUUGGGAAUUCAUCUUAUUUAGUAUACUAAAUAACUCUAUGCCCGGGUUGAGUGCAGGAUUCCUCUCUACAGGUUAUAGGCAAUCGUCCAUUUCAGGUGUGUUUUUUUGCACAAAACCAAAUCUGGGUCGCAAUGGAAAGUUUAGUUGUGUGUGAUGUCUGGCUUUUGUUACUCAUGUAUUUUCUCGUGACAGUACAAUGGCAUACUUCCUUCUGUGGUCAGGUAGCUUAGAAGAUACUAGUGUGAGAGGACAAACCUUCUGAGACAUAAAGCACUAUCUUGUUGGUGGCAUUAUUAUGCUACUUUUGUUUUUCAAUUUCACCACCUCUUUUUACUUUUUUUUAUCUUUCAUUUUCUGAUUCUCUCUCUCUCUCCCGCUCUCCCUCCCCAGUCCUUGACUCAAAGGGUUAAUGAAACCUAGUUGCUAAGAGCCCUAACCACUUUUUCCACUCUUGCUGGAAACUUUCCAGUGCUAUUUAUAAGAAAACUCAAACAAUCAAAACUCACAAUCAAGAGUGGCUGUUUGUCAGAAUUAAGAUAUAAUCCUAACAUUAUAAAUAUCCUAGAAACCUUUUUUUUUUUUUCAUAAUUUUAUGUGAAUAGCCUAAUUUGUUUGGAGGAAAAGUUGCCUCAUAUAAUUUACAUUAUGUGAAGGCUUGGCCUGUUUAUUCAAAGCAUGCAUGUCUAAUGAUAGUAAAUAAAGUCAAGCUAGUUAUAUUGCCCACUGUAAAGUAAUCACAGUCCAUCUUAUUUGAUGACAUAGAUAGAAAUUCAUGUAAAUUUCAUGAGCAAUGCAUUCAUUGAUCUAUUAUGUAACGUAUGCAUAAAUAGCCUAUAGCCUACUCAAAUAUUCUCUAAGGUGGUCUGGGCACAAACAGCUUUUGAAGAUGUCUUUAUGUAAACUCAUGUAAUUCAGCUAUCACGUAUUAAUGCCAACAUCAUGCAAAAAAAACUUUCCAAGGAGAGGGUAGUGAUAGGCAGUGUACCGAGCCUCGGAAAAAAAAUCAUGUUAUACUCUCACUGUCUCUAGGCAAUUUCUACGUCAAACAGCUUGCACAUUUGAUCUAUCUUUCUCUCUCGCGCGCUCUCUCUCUCUCUCUUGUCGGACACAGCAUCCUACAAUAACAUCACCAUACACAUCAGUGAGCAAUCCGGCGUUGCGCGCACGAGACGCCACAGUCGCAUCUAUGGAGCGCUCCUGCCGCCUGUCCUACUAUUGCAUGAAAUGAAAGUGUAAUAUGACAUAGAAGCAAGACGCCCUGGCACUUCAAAGGGAAAACAAACCUUGCCGUCUACACCUCAACACUCGCGACUUUCCAACGAUACCGACUUGAAACUUUUACACAUUUUUGCACAUUACACACACACACACACACCGUUCCUCCACUUUGUAUCCGUUCGUGUAAAAUUCCCUCGGAGCUUUGCUGCU